CUUUUUGUAUUUAUAUGAAGUCGUGCCUGCUCACUGAUUUAUUAAAGAGCCGCGGUAUUUUGACCGUGCGAAGGUAGCAUAAUCAUUAGUUUUUUAAUUGAAGACUGGAAUGAAUGGAUUGACGAAAUAAUAUUUGUCUCAUAAUGAUUAAUUGAAUUUUACUUUUAAGUAAAAAGGCUUAAAUGAUAAUGGGGGACGAGAAGACCCUAUAAAUCUUUAUAUUAACGAAGUGAUGUUAUUUAUUUUAUUAAUAUUAUAUUGUUAUUAUUUCAUUGGGGUGAUGUGAGAAGAAUUAAUCUUCUAUAUUUAGUAUACUUUGAUUGACGAAUUUAAUGAUCCUUGGAUAUGGAUAUAAGAUUAAGAUACUUUAGGGAUAACAGCGUAAUUUUGUUUGAAAGUUCUUAUUGAUAAUGAAGAUUGCGACCUCGAUGUUGGAUUAAGAUUAUAUGUUGGUGUAGAAGCUAACAAUAAUUGGUCUGUUC
rnacentral:rRNA from 1 species